AGGUAUAGCAAGACCUUGUCACAAACUGCCACAGAGUAUACUAUAGGAAGCAAAACAGGACUAUAACACAACAGGUUAUCCACAAUGAAACAGCUAGGUAGGGCAGGGACAGAUAGAAGCAAUUAAGUAGGCAAGAAUUUAGGAUGCAGUCCUAAAGGGCCGGAAGUAUGAGGCUUGGCCACCUGGCCAUGUCCAGCUAUAGCUCACAGUCCCCGAGGACACGUCGGACCUGAGAUCAUCCUAAAGCCACUGUGAUCCCUACAGCUCUGCGAACGCCCGAGUCCCCGGGCCCGGCACUUACUCGUUCUCCAUGGAGUCACCGACGGCCACGCCGAAAUCCUGCCCUUUCCGCUCCACGGCGACACUGUCUGAGUCAGGUCAAGACUGUUAGUGCACUAUUCGCUGGGCCGGCCUUUAUAUCCUCAGCCCCAGGCUCCAGCCAAUGGCAGCGGCCUUGUCUCCAUGGUGACACACCCUCAUCCAGAGGUGUGGCAGGAAACCUCUCCAGAGUUCUUUUCAAAGAGACCCACUCCUAGUCUAAGGCAACCAGCAGAUGAAACCCGCACACAGUCAUGAUUUCCCAGCCAGAAAAGGAGGCCUGUGCGGAAAGAGAAGCAGGGUAGAGAGCCCCGGAACUGCCUAUCUGCAACUCCAUUCUCCGCUGCGUUAUUGGAUAAGAAUUUGAAAAGCGAAAAAAUUCAAUUUUUUUUCAUAGAUUGCGCAAUCUUGAAAUAAAAUGAAACGAAA